rnacentral:rRNA from 1 species
UACGUAGGCAGCGAGCGUUGUUCGGAGUUACUGGGCGUAAAGGGUGUGUAGGCGGUUCUUUAAGUUUGGUGUGAAAUCUCCCGGCUCAACCGGGAGGGUGCGCCGAAUACUGAGGGACUAGAGUAUGGGAUGGGAAAGUGGAAUUCCUGGUGUAGCGGUGAAAUGCGUAGAUAUCAGGAGGAACACCUGUGGUGUAAGACGGCUUUCUGGACCAUAACUGACGCUGAGACACGAAAGCGUGGGUAGCAAACAGG